rnacentral:lncRNA from 1 species
GGGUCAAAAUUUAAUAUUUAAGUCAAAAUCCAAUUUUAACGAAAAUAAAAAAUGUCGUUAAUUUUAAAUAAAAUUUUAAUUUGGGUCAAAAUUAAAUUAUGGGUCAAACCCAUUUAAUAUAUAAUUUUAAAACUAUUUUAAAGUUCAAAUUCAAAUCAUUUUUCAAUUUGCAAAUAGACCCAAAAUUGAAAUUAAAAGGUAGUCCUUCAAUUACUUUAAUUGCAUGACAG